AACGGCGAGUGAAGCAGGAAUAGCCCAGCACCGAAUCCUCUCUGCCCUGGCGUGGAGCGGGACAUGUGGUGUUAGGGAGGCGAGCAGCGCUGGCGCGGUCGUCUCGGCGCCCAGGUCCUCGUGAUCGUGGCUUUUCGCCCCAUCGAGGGUGUAAGGCCCUUCGUGGCGCCGGACUCGCGUCGCCCGCGAGCCUCCUUGGAGUCGGGUUGCUUGAGAUCGCAGCCCGAAGUGGGUGGUAAACUCCAUCUAAGGCUAAAUACUGGACACGAGUCCGAUAGUAGACAAGUACCGCGAGGGAAAGUUGAAAAGAACUUUGAAGAGAGAGUUCAAUAGUACGUGAAACCGCACAGAGUCAAACGGGUGGAGCCGCAAUGUCGCUCGUCCCGGGGCAUUCAGCCCGCUUCCCGCCGCCGGGCCUCCCUGGAUUCAAGCGGUGCGCGCUCUUCGGAGUGCGUGCCCGCCGGGGACGGACUAAAAAUCCGGUGGCGAGACGGGUGCACUUGCUCCGGUCGUCGAGAGCCACGACCGGUUCCUUCGCAGGCAGUGUGGACUCCCUUGGUCGGGMUAACGGCGGGUCGAACGUCGUCCCUAUUGCUGGGCUUCGAUCGCCUGCUCCGACCGGGAGGGAAACUGGCCUGGGGACCGAGGACUGCAUCUGGCUGGCGUCUCCGUUACUCUCGAGCCGUGCGCCCUUGUCGGCCCCCUUCGGGGUGGUCAGGCAAGACGGGCGCGAGGACGCAUCGGGAGGGAGCGGACGGCGUGUCUUUUUGGCCUGACACGGUGCUUGUCGGUGGCGGAUCNNGUCGGUACUCCACCCGACCCGUCUUGAAACACGGACCAAGGAGUCUAGCAUGUGCGCGAGUCGAUGGGACUCGACGAAACCCCACGGCACNAUGAAAGUGANNNCCCUUNCCNCGUNGGAGNNCUAGGCAGGACGCNNNGNNUUCUNG
rnacentral:rRNA from 1 species